rnacentral:rRNA from 1 species
GAUGAACGCUGGCGGCGUGCUUAACACAUGCAAGUCGAACGAUGAAGCCCAGCUUGCUGGGUGGAUUAGUGGCGAACGGGUGAGUAACACGUGAGUAACCUGCCCUUAACUCUGGGAUAAGCCUGGGAAACUAGGUCUAAUACCGGAUAGGAGCGCCUACCGCAUGGUGGGUGUUGGAAAGAUUUAUCGGUUUUGGAUGGACUCGCGGCCUAUCAGCUUGUUGGUGAGGUAAUGGCUCACCAAGGCGACGACGGGUAGCCGGCCUGAGAGGGUGACCGGCCACACUGGGACUGAGACACGGCCCAGACUCCUACGGGAGGCAGCAGUGGGGAAUAUUGCACAAUGGGCGCAAGCCUGAUGCAGCGACGCCGCGUGAGGGACGACGGCCUUCGGGUUGUAAACCUCUUUCAGUAGGGAAGAAGCGAAAGUGACGGUACCUGCAGAAGAAGCACCGGCUAACUACGUG